AAGGGAGGAAUGCACUUUGGUUAGAGAUUUUCAUUUGGUGUCAAACGCACCUAGUUGUAAACAAAUGGAAAUUGAAAGUAAAAGUGCAACGGCACGGUAUAUUUUUUCUGGCAUUUUUUGUUUUCCAAUAUCUCGAACUUUCACGACAAAAAGGUCAUUUGCCCGAAAUUCAAUACAUGUAUCAGUGAGAGGGGCUAAAGUUUGUAUGGAAGUCUAUGGGAAAACAUUUGGUGGUGUUUGUCCUAUAGAAUAGCAAUGCAUUAUCAAGAAGGAAGAGAUUAAUGAACCCUACCCUCUUACAAUGAACAACACAUGGACACUCUCGGGAUGAUCCCUCUGCUUUCAUUAAGAGUUCCAAGAUAUUGGUCUGAUUGACUGGGGUGUGAAAUGUAACAGCCAGUGGUGUACUUAAGCUAAGACUGUCAGUCCCAAUAUUCAAGAGG